CCGCCUACCUCUGCCUCUACUGACCUGCUGCUCCGUGGUGCUUGGCUGGCGCUUCUGAUAUUGUCGCCGGAGUUCUGAGGCCACCGGAACCACUGCCGGAGCUUCUGGCUACUUCUGCCGUUGCCGGAAAAAUUGCCGUUGAUCCACCGGAGCUUCUGGCCGCCGCCGGAGCUGCUGCCGGGCCGGUUCAAAAUCGCAGCUGCUUCGUGUUGAAAUUCCGAGCUGAUUAUGCUGCUGCGAAAAUGUGUGAGGCUGUGCUUUGAAGCUGCCUUUGAUUUUGAGUUGAGGCGAAAAGAACUUAUGAGGCGUUUGGGUUAUGGAAUUUGCGUUUUGAGGAUAUGGGCGCAGAAGUUACGAAGAGUUUAUUUAGUUUUUGUUGAGAUGCUCUGUAUUGCUUUGGAUUA